rnacentral:rRNA from 1 species
CGGGACACGUGGUAUCCUGUCUGAAUAUGGGGGGACCAUCCUCCAAGGCUAAAUACUCCUGACUGACCGAUAGUGAACCAGUACCGUGAGGGAAAGGCGAAAAGAACCCCGGCGAGGGGAGUGAAAAAGAACCUGAAACCGUGUACGUACAAGCAGUGGGAGCACGCUUAGGCGUGUGACUGCGUACCUUUUGUAUAAUGGGUCAGCGACUUAUAUUCUGUAGCAAGGUUAACCGAAUAGGGGAGCCGAAGGGAAACCGAGUCUUAACUGGGCGUUAAGUUGCAGGGUAUAGACCCGAAACCCGGUGAUCUAGCCAUGGGCAGGUUGAAGGUUGGGUAACACUAACUGGAGGACCGAACCGACUAAUGUUGAAAAAUUAGCGGAUGACUUGUGGCUGGGGGUGAAAGGCCAAUCAAACCGGGAGAUAGCUGGUUCUCCCCGAAAGCUAUUUAGGUAGCGCCUCGUGAAUUCAUCUCCGGGGGUAGAGCACUGUUUCGGCAAGGGGGUCAUCCCGACUUACCAACCCGAUGCAAACUGCGAAUACCGGAGAAUGUUAUCACGGGAGACACACGGCGGGUGCUAACGUCCGUCGUGAAGAGGGAAACAACCCAGACCGCCAGCUAAGGUCCCAAAGUCAUGGUUAAGUGGGAAACGAUGUGGGAAGGCCCAGACAGCCAGGAUGUUGGCUUAGAAGCAGCCAUCAUUUAAAGAAAGCGUAAUAGCUCACUGGUCGAGUCGGCCUGCGCGGAAGAUGUAACGGGGCUAAACCAUGCACCGAAGCUGCGGCAGCGACGCUUAUGCGUUGUUGGGUAGGGGAGCGUUCUGUAAGCCUGUGAAGGUGUACUGUGAGGUAUGCUGGAGGUAUCAGAAGUGCGAAUGCUGACAUAAGUAACGAUAAAGCGGGUGAAAAGCCCGCUCGCCGGAAGACCAAGGGUUCCUGUCCAACGUUAAUCGGGGCAGGGUGAGUCGACCCCUAAGGCGAGGCCGAAAGGCGUAGUCGAUGGGAAACAGGUUAAUAUUCCUGUACUUGGUGUUACUGCGAAGGGGGGACGGAGAAGGCUAUGUUGGCCGGGCGACGGUUGUCCCGGUUUAAGCGUGUAGGCUGGUUUUCCAGGCAAAUCCGGAAAAUCAAGGCUGAGGCGUGAUGACGAGGCACUACGGUGCUGAAGCAACAAAUGCCCUGCUUCCAGGAAAAGCCUCUAAGCAUCAGGUAACAUCAAAUCGUACCCCAAACCGACACAGGUGGUCAGGUAGAGAAUACCAAGGCGCUUGAGAGAACUCGGGUGAAGGAACUAGGCAAAAUGGUGCCGUAACUUCGGGAGAAGGCACGCUGAUAUGUAGGUGAAGUCCCUCGCGGAUGGAGCUGAAAUCAGUCGAAGAUACCAGCUGGCUGCAACUGUUUAUUAAAAACACAGCACUGUGCAAACACGAAAGUGGACGUAUACGGUGUGACGCCUGCCCGGUGCCGGAAGGUUAAUUGAUGGGGUCAGCGCAAGCGAAGCUCUUGAUCGAAGCCCCGGUAAACGGCGGCCGUAACUAUAACGGUCCUAAGGUAGCGAAAUUCCUUGUCGGGUAAGUUCCGACCUGCACGAAUGGCGUAAUGAUGGCCAGGCUGUCUCCACCCGAGACUCAGUGAAAUUGAACUCGCUGUGAAGAUGCAGUGUACCCGCGGCAAGACGGAAAGACCCCGUGAACCUUUACUAUAGCUUGACACUGAACAUUGAGCCUUGAUGUGUAGGAUAGGUGGGAGGCUUUGAAGUGUGGACGCCAGUCUGCAUGGAGCCGACCUUGAAAUACCACCCUU